rnacentral:rRNA from 1 species
ACUCAAAGGAAUUGACGGGGGCCCGCACAAGCGGUGGAGUAUGUGGUUUAAUUCGACGCAACGCGAAGAACCUUACCUGGGCUUGAACUACUCGUGGUAGGUACUGGAAACAGUGGCCGACCCGCAAGGGAGCGAGCAGAGGUGCUGCAUGGUUGUCGUCAGCUCGUGUCGUGAGAUGUUGGGUUAAGUCCCGCAACGAGCGCAACCCCCAUCUCAUGUUGCUAUUCACCUUUGGUGAAGCACUCUUGAGAAACUGCCUUCGAUAAGAAGGAGGAAGGUGGGGACGACGUCAAAUCCUCAUGGCCCUUAUGUCCAGGGCUACACACGUACUACAAUGGCCGGUACAACGGGAAGCAAGACCGCAAGGUGGAGCAAAACCCUUAAAGCCGGCCCCAGUUCAGAUCGUGGGCUGCAACUCGCCCACGUGAAGGCGGAAUCGCUAGUAAUCGCGAAUCAGCAGGUCGCGGUGAAUACGUUCCCGGGCCUUGUACACACCGCCCGU